GCCCACCAGACGCAGACCACGCCCAUCAGCCUCCACAAGCCCCGUCCAGCCACCGCGGAAACACGCCCACUUCUUUGCCCCGCCCACCGGAGCCUCAGCCACGCCCACCUUCGCUGCGGGAGGCAGGCGGGCAGCGAGCGCUGCGUGGCCUCCAGCCCGCGUCUUGCUCCCACGCUCGGGCAAGGUUGUUGGGGUCCGAGUAGCAACUGCUGGAUGCGGAUCGGGCGCCCACGCUGCCGCCACAGGUGCUUCGGGGGCCUGGACACCAAAUGAGCCAGGUGUGAAGCCAGACAGCUGUGAUCCAGCAUCAGGAGGCUGAGGCAGGAGGACCCCUGCAAGAUCAAG
rnacentral:lncRNA from 1 species